rnacentral:tRNA from 1 species
UCUCUGGUAGUCCAGUGGUUAAGACUCUGUGCUCCCAGUGCAGGGGUCCUGGGUUCGAUUCCUGGUCAGGGAA